rnacentral:rRNA from 1 species
CGGACCCUUCGGGGUUAGUGGCGCACGGGUGAGUAACACGUAGGAAUCUGUCUUGAGGUGGGGGAUAACUCCGGGAAACUGGAGCUAAUACCGCAUGAUAACUGAGGUUCAAAGGUCGCAAGACCGCCUUGAGAGGGGCCUGCGUUCGAUUAGUUAGUUGGUGGGGUAAUGGCCUACCAAGACGAUGAUCGAUAGCUGGUUUGAGAGGAUGAUCAGCCNCACUGGGACUGAGACNCGGCCCANACUCCUACGGGAGGNAGCAGUGGGGAAUAUUGGACAAUGGGGGCAACCCUGAUCCAGCAAUGCCGCGUG